CCUACGGGUGGCAGCAGUCGAGAAUCAUUCACAAUGGGGGAAACCCUGAUGGGGCGACGCCGCGUGGGGGAAUGAAGGUCUGCGGAUUGUAAACCCCUGUCAUGUGGGAGCAAAUUAAAAAGAUAGUACCACAAUAGGAAGAGACGGCUAACGCUGUGCCAGCAGCCGCGGUAAUACAGAGGACUCAAGCGUUGUUCGGAAUCACUGGGCGUAAAGUGUGCGUAGGCGGUUUCGUAAGUCGUGUGUGAAAGGCGCGGGCUCAACCCGCGGACGGCACAUGAUACUGCGAGACUAGAGUAAGGGAGAGGGAACCGGAAUUCUCGGUGUAGCCGUGACAUGCGUAGAUAUCGGGAGGAACACUCGUGGCGAAGGCGGGUUCCUGGACAUUAACUGACGCUGAGGCACGAAGGCCCGGGGAGCGAAAAGGAUUAGAUACCCGAGUAGUC
rnacentral:rRNA from 1 species